GUGAAGAACGACUGCACAAACAGGAUGGCAUUGACUAAAAUGGCUGAACGACUCUCCAAGGAGAAGAAGUUGAGGGAUAAACGGAGCGCAUCUUCUGCACUUUCUAUGAAUGGCCAUAGUGUUGGAAUAAACAUCUGAACUUCUUUCUUCCAUUCCAAUCACACCUUACGCUAGAAUUUUGUGUAUAAUUUUUAAUUAAAAAACAUAUCAGGGUGUUGGUGAGCCACACAGCUGAUUUGUGUAAUGGUAAACACAGCAAUUCAAGAUUUAGCUGUGUUUUUGCCAACUAAUAGAUGCCAUUUCAUUCUGUUUUUUUUUAUAGCUAAAUUAUUAUUUUAUGUUCUCCAAAUAUUAAUAGCGUUGCAGUUGUGGACAACAAGGCAAUGUAAGUUUUAUAUUCGUUCCAAAAGUGCUUGGAGUGGAUGCAUAAACGUUCCCUACAGCACUUAGUUGGGCCUCUUCAAGGAAUUGUCUUAUUAUUGUAUUCUUUACUGAUAACACUGUAUUCGGGGAAUGGUUUGUAUUAUCGUUGGAUUAAAAAAUAUAGAUGUUAUUAUGAUA